GACGAACGCUGGCGGCGUGCCUAACACAUGCAAGUCGAGCGAAUGAAGUUCCUUCGGGAAUGGAUUUAGCGGCGGACGGGUGAGUAACACGUGGGCAACCUGCCUCAUAGAGGGGAAUAGCCUUCCGAAAGGGAGAUUAAUACCGCAUAAGAUUGUAGUAUCGCAUGAUACAGCAAUUAAAGGAGCAAUCCGCUAUGAGAUGGGCCCGCGGCGCAUUAGCUAGUUGGUGAGGUCACGGCUCACCAAGGCGACGAUGCGUAGCCGACCUGAGAGGGUGAUCGGCCACAUUGGGACUGAGACACGGCCCAGACUCCUACGGGAGGCAGCAGUGGGGAAUAUUGCACAAUGGGGGAAACCCUGAUGCAGCAACGCCGCGUGAGUGAUGACGGCCUUCGGGUUGUAAAGCUCUGUCUUCAGGGACGAUAAUGACGGUACCUGAGGAGGAAGCCACGGCUAACUACGUG
rnacentral:rRNA from 1 species